rnacentral:tRNA from 1 species
AAUUUCGUGGCCCAAUGGUUAGCGCGCCUGACUCCAGAUCAGGAGGUUUGGAUGUUCAAAAUCACGUCUCGAGAUCA